rnacentral:rRNA from 1 species
GUUCUGGGCCGCACGCGCGCUACACUGACGGAGCCAACGAGUAUUAACCUUGGCCGAGAGGUCUGGGAAAUCUUGUGAAACUCCGUCGUGCUGGGGAUAGAGCAUUGUAAUUUUUGCUCUUCAACGAGGAAUUCCUAGUAAGCGCAAGUCAUCAGCUUGCGUUGAUUACGUCCCUGCCCUUUGUACACACCGCCCGUCGCUACUACCGAUUGAAUGGCUUAGUGAGGCCUUCGGAUUGGUCUAAGGAAGGGGGUAACUCCAUCCUGGGACUGAAAAGUUGGUCAAACUUGGUCAUUUAGAGGAAGUAAAAGUCGUAACAAGGUUUCCGUAGGUGAACCUGCGGAAGGAUCAUUACAGUUAUUAGUUCCAGGCCAGCGCUUAAUUGCGCGGCGGGAAAUAAUCCUUACACACUGUGUUUUUUAUAUUCGUGAUAAAUUACUUUGGUUCUGGACCUAGAAAUAGGUUUUUGGGGCCAGAGGUUUACUACCAAAACUUCAAUUUUUUAAUUGAAUUGUUUAUUAUAUUUAUUUUGUCAAUUUGUUUGAUUAAUUUCAAAAAUAAUCUUCAAAACUUUCAACAACGGAUCUCUUGGUUCUCGCAUCGAUGAAGAACGCAGCGAAAUGCGAUAAGUAAUAUGAAUUGCAGAUUUUCGUGAAUCAUCGAAUCUUUGAACGCACAUUGCGCCCUCUGGUAUUCCAUAGGGCAUGCCUGUUUGAGCGUCAUUUCUCUCUCAAACCCCCACGGGUUUGGGUAUUGAGUGAUACUCUUAGUCAGACUAGGCGUUUGCUUGAAAAGUAAUGGCAUGAGCGUACUAAAUAGUGCGACUUGAUUUAUUCAAGGAUUAGGUUUAUCCACUCGUUGAAAAGAUCGGACUAAAUUUCUGGUAUUGAAAGGUCGGGCCGUACAACGACCAAA